GCGGAAGUAGUUCAGUGGUAGAAUACAACCUUGCCAAGGUUGGGGUCGCGGGUUCGAAUCCCGCCUUCCGCUCCA
rnacentral:tRNA from 1 species